UACGUAGGGGGCUAGCGUUGUCCGGAAUCAUUGGGCGUAAAGCGCGCGUAGGCGGGUUGGUAAGUCCGCUGUGAAAGCCCGGAGCUUAACUCCGGAGGGUCGGUGGAUACUGCCAGUCUUGAAGGUGCUAGGGGGAGAUGGAAUUACCGGUGUAGCGGUGAAAUGCGUAGAUAUCGGUAGGAACACCAGUGGCGAAGGCGGUCUCCUGGGGCAUUCUUGACGCUGAGGCGCGAAAGCUGGGGGAGCAAACGGG
rnacentral:rRNA from 1 species